GUGGGGAAUUUUCCACAAUGGGCGAAAGCCUGAUGGAGCAACGCCGCGUGAGUGAAGAAGGUUUUCGGAUCGUAAAGCUCUUUCGUUAGGGACGAACGUGCUCUUUGUGAAUAAUGAGGAGUAAUGACGGUACCUAAAUAAGAAGCCACGGCUAACUACGUGCCAGCAGCCGCGGUAAUACGUAGGUGGCAAGCGUUGUCCGGAAUUAUUGGGCGUAAAGCGCGCGCAGGCGGGAUAUCAAGUCUGUCUUAAAAGUGCGAGGCUCAACCUCGUGAGGGGACAGAAACUGGUAUUCUUGAGUGUCGGAGAAGAAAGUGGAAUUCCAAGUGUAGCGGUGAAAUGCGUAGAGAUUUGGAAGAACACCAGUGGCGAAGGCGACUUGCUGGACGAUGUCUGACGCUGAGGCGCGAAAGCUAGGGGAGCGAACGGGAUUAGAUACCCCAGUAGUCC
rnacentral:rRNA from 1 species